rnacentral:rRNA from 1 species
CCGGGACCAUCCGGUAAGGCUAAAUACUCCCGAGAGACCGAUAGCGAACCAGUACCGUGAGGGAAAGGUGAAAAGCACUUCGAACAGAAGAGUGAAAUAGUUCCUGAAACCGUGCGCCUACAAGCGGUCGGAGCUCGUUAAUGAGUGACGGCGUGCCUUUUGCAUAAUGAACCUACGAGUUGCCUUUGCCGGCAAGGUUAAGUGUGACGACACACGUAUCCGAAGCGAAAGCGAGUCUGAACAGGGCGUAUAGUCGGCAGUGGCAGACGCGAAACCAAGUGAUCUACCCUUGGCCAGGUUGAAGGCUGGGUAACACCAGCUGGAGGACCGCACCAAUAAGCGUUGAAAAGCUUCUGGAUGAGCUGAGGGUAGGGGUGAAAGGCUAAUCAAACUUGGAGAUAGCUCGUACUCCCCGAAAUGCAUUUAGGUGCAGCCUUGCGGGUUACUGAUGUGAGGUAGAGCGACUGAUAAGAUGCGAGGGCUUCACCGCCUAUCAAGUCUUGACAAACUCCGAAUGCGUGUCAGUUCUAUGUCAGGAGUGAGGGCAUGGGUGCUAAGGUCCAUGUCCUAAAGGAGAACAAUCCGGACCAACAGCUAAGGUCCCGAAAUGAAUACUAAGUUGAACUAACGAAGUCAGAUUGCUAAGACAGCUAGGAUGUUGGCUUGGAAGCAGCCAUUCAUUUAAAGAGUGCGUAACAGCUCACUAGUCGAGGAGUCGGGCGUGGAUAAUAAUCGGGUAUCAAGUUGUCUACCGAAGCAGUGGGAUCAUUAAUAUGAUCGGUAGGGGAGCAUUCCAGUCAGCGUCGAAGGCGUACCGUGAGGUAUUCUGGAGCGUCUGGAAAAGCAAAUGUAGGUAUAAGUAACGAUAAAGGGGGCGGGAAACCCCCUCGCCGAAAGACUAAGGUUUCCUGAUCAACGCUAAUCGGAUCAGGGUCAGUCGGGUCCUAAGGCUCAGCCGAACGGCGAUGCCGAUGGCAGAAACGGUUAAUAUUCCGUUACUACCUUCAGGAGUGACGUGGAGACGCAGUAGUGACAGUGCCGCCAUCUGACGGAAUAGAUGGUUGAAGGGUGUAGGAGUCGAUCAUGGCAGGCAAAUCCACCAUGAGAUCCGAACCUGACAGUAUGCCGCGUCCUUCGGGACAAGGCAAUAGUGCGCGUAAGCAUGCUGCCGAGAAAAUCCGCUAAACUUAAUCCUGCAGGUACCCGUACCGCAAACGGACACACGUAGUCGGGUUGAAUAUACUAAGGCGCUUGAGUGAUUCACGGUUAAGGAACUAGGCAAACUGACCCUGUAACUUCGGGAUAAAGGGUCCCUACCCUUUUAUGGGAGGGCGCAGAGAAUCGGUCCAGGCAACUGUUUAACAAAAACACAGGGCUGUGCCAAAUCGAAAGAUCCAGUAUACAGCCUGACACCUGCCCGGUGCUGGAAGGUUAAGAGGAGAUGUCAUCGAUAAGAGAAGCGUUGAAUUGAAGCCCCAGUAAACGGCGGCCGUAACUAUAACGGUCCUAAGGUAGCGAAAUUCCUUGUCGGGUAAGUUCCGACCUGCACGAAUGGUGUAAUGAUCUGGACACUGUCUCAACCGUGAGCUCGGUGAAAUUGUAGUAUCGGUGAAGAUGCCGAUUACCCGCGAUGGGACGAAAAGACCCCGUGAACCUUUACUAUAGCUUAUCAUUGAAUCUGGGCACGUGAUGUGUAGGAUAGGUCGGAGGCUUUGAAGCAGGUACGCCAGUAUUUGUGGAGCCGCUGUUGAAAUACGACCCUUUAUUUGUUUGGAUUCUAACCCGUGGAUACGGGGACAUUGAUUGGUGGGUAGUUUGACUGGGGUGGUCGCCUCCAAAAGCGUAACGGAGGCUUCUAAAGGUGCCCUCCGGCCGAUUGGUAACCGGCCUUAGAGUGUAAUGGCAUAAGGGCGCUUGACUGGGAGACUGACAAGUCGAUCAGGUAGGAAACUAGAGCAUAGUGAUCCGGUGUUUCCGUAUGGAAGGGACAUCGCUCAAAGGAUAAAAGGUACUCCGGGGAUAACAGGCUGAUCCCUCCCAAGAGCUCAUAUCGACGGAGUGGUUUGGCACCUCGAUGUCGGCUCGUCACAUCCUGGGGCUGGAGAAGGUCCCAAGGGUUCGGCUGUUCGCCGAUUAAAGUGGCACGCGAGCUGGGUUCAGAACGUCGUGAGACAGUUCGGUCUCUAUCUAUCGUGGGCGUAUGAAAUUUGCGUGGCUCUGACACUAGUACGAGAGGACCGUGUUGGACAGACCUC